AUUGAACGCUGGCGGCAUGCCUUACACAUGCAAGUCGGACGAGUGGCGAACGGGUGAGUAAUGCCUGGGAAACUGCCGAAUAAUGGGGGAUAACUGCUGGAAAAGGCAGCUAAUACCGCAUAUUAUUGGAACAGCCGCUGGCGGAUUAGCUGGUGGGUGGGGUAACGGCUCACCUAGUCGACGAUCCCUAGCUGGUCUGAGAGGAUGAUCAGCCACACUGGGACUGAGACACGGUCCAGACUCAUACGGGAGGCAGAAGUGGGGAAUAUUGCACAAUGGGCGCAAGCCUGAUGCAGCCAUGCCGCGUGUAUGAAGAAGGCCUUAGGGUUGUAAAGCACUUUCAGCGGGGAGGCGUUACCCGCAGAAGAAGCACCGGCUAACUCCGUGCCAGCAGCCGCGGUAAUAC
rnacentral:rRNA from 1 species